rnacentral:rRNA from 1 species
GACGAACGCUGGCGGCGUGCUUAACACAUGCAAGUCGAACGGAAAGGCCCUGCUUUUGUGGGGUGCUCGAGUGGCGAACGGGUGAGUAACACGUGAGUAACCUGCCCUUGACUUUGGGAUAACUUCAGGAAACUGGGGCUAAUACCGGAUAGGAGCUCCUGCUGCAUGGUGGGGGUUGGAAAGUUUCGGCGGUUGGGGAUGGACUCGCGGCUUAUCAGCUUGUUGGUGGGGUAGUGGCUUACCAAGGCUUUGACGGGUAGCCGGCCUGAGAGGGUGACCGGCCACAAUGGGACUGCGAUACGGAGCAGACUCCUACGGGGGACAGCAGUGGAGAAUAUUGCACAGUGAGCGGAAGCCUGAUGCAGCAACGCCGCGGGCGGGAUGACGGCCUUCGGGUUGUAAACCGCUUUCGCCUGUGACGAAGCGUGAAUGACGGUAAUGGGUAAAGAAGCACCGGCUAACUACGUG